GACGAACGCUGGCGGCGUGCUUAACACAUGCAAGUCGAACGGAAAGGCCCUGCUUGCAGGGUGCUCGAGUGGCGAACGGGUGAGUAACACGUGGGUGAUCUGCCCCUUACUUUGGGAUAAGCCUGGGAAACUGGGUCUAAUACUGGAUAGGACCAUGCUGUAGGUGGUGUGGUGGAAAGAUUAGUUUCGGUAAGGGAUGAGCUCGCGGCCUAUCAGCUUGUUGGUGGGGUAAUGGCCUACCAAGGCGUCGACGGGUAGCCGGCCUGAGAGGGUGGACGGCCACAUUGGGACUGAGAUACGGCCCAGACUCCUACGGGAGGCAGCAGUGGGGAAUAUUGCACAAUGGGCGCAAGCCUGAUGCAGCGACGCCGCGUGGGGGAUGACGGCCUUCGGGUUGUAGACUCCUUUCAGCCAUGACGAAGCCCUUGUGGUGACGGUAGUGGUAGAAGAAGCACCGGCUAACUACGUG
rnacentral:rRNA from 1 species